rnacentral:rRNA from 1 species
AGAGUUUGAUCCUGGCUCAGAUUGAACGCUGGCGGCAUGCCUUACACAUGCAAGUCGAACGGCAGCACGGGAGCAAUCCUGGUGGCGAGUGGCGAACGGGUGAGUAAUGUAUCGGAACGUGCCCAGUCGUGGGGGAUAACGCAGCGAAAGCUGUGCUAAUACCGCAUACGAUCUAUGGAUGAAAGCGGGGGAUCGCAAGACCUCGCGCGAUUGGAGCGGCCGAUAUCAGAUUAGGUAGUUGGUGGGGUAAAAGCCCACCAAGCCGACGAUCUGUAGCUGGUCUGAGAGGACGACCAGCCACACUGGAACUGAGACACGGUCCAGACUCCUACGGGAGGCAGCAGUGGGGAAUUUUGGACAAUGGGCGCAAGCCUGAUCCAGCAAUGCCGCGUGCAGGAUGAAGGCCUUCGGGUUGUAAACUGCUUUUGUACGGAACGAAACGGCGAGCUCUAAUAAAGCUUGCUAAUGACGGUACCGUAAGAAUAAGCACCGGCUAACUACGUGCCAGCAGCCGCGGUAAUACGUAGGGUGCAAGCGUUAAUCGGAAUUACUGGGCGUAAAGCGUGCGCAGGCGGUUAUAUAAGACAGAUGUGAAAUCCCCGGGCUCAACCUGGGACCUGCAUUUGUGACUGUAUAGCUAGAGUACGGUAGAGGGGGAUGGAAUUCCGCGUGUAGCAGUGAAAUGCGUAGAUAUGCGGAGGAACACCGAUGGCGAAGGCAAUCCCCUGGACCUGUACUGACGCUCAUGCACGAAAGCGUGGGGAGCAAACAGGAUUAGAUACCCUGGUAGUC